ensembl:lncRNA
CAAAGCCAACAGGAGGGGGUUCAAGGAGAAGUGUGCCAUUUCACACCUUCCUGGAGCCAAAUGGAGCUCAUUGUUGGCUCACCGCUGCAAUAACUGGCCACUAAACACGCUGGAUGGUGUGUGUCAAUCACACGGGAAGAUGGGAACUUCUGCUGGCAUGUCCAGACAUGAAAAUGCCUCCACACUUAAGUAUUCUAUUUAUUACUGCAAGGUCUGGCUGUGCAUCAUCAUGGAAAAGCGGGAAGAUGAACCAGAUAAUUCACACAUGCAGCCAGAAGUGACUCACACUCAUAGUCAUAAUAUUACAGGAAAAAUGAAACAGGGAAUUUUUCCUGUGAGAUAAAUCCACUUUAAGUUGCUUUGGGGCGGGCCACAUCUCAUUUGCAACAGACACCAGUGAUCCAUGAACGGCUCAUUAUGCAUCGUUUGGUCAGGCGUUAUACAGCGCUACUUUCCUUUGUGUGACAUCAU